GACGAACGCUGGCGGCGUGCCUAAUACAUGCAAGUAGAACGCAGUUUCGAACGGGGGAGUAACGCGUAGGUAACUGCCUGGAAGCGGGGGAUAACUAUUGUAAAAGAUAGCUAAUACCGCAUACUACCAGAUGGACCUGCGUUGUAUUCGCUAGUUGGUGGGGUAACGGCCCCCCAAGGCAACGAUACAUAGCCGACCUGAGGGGGGGAUUGGCAAAACGGGAAUGGAGAACGGGCCCGACUCCCUAGGGGGGCAACAGUAGGGAAUUCUUGGCAAAGGGGGGAACCCUUGCCGGGCAACGGCGCGGGAGUGAAGGAGGUUUUCCGAUCGUAAAGCUCUGUUUUUAAGGAAGCGGUACUUAACCAGAAAGGGACGGCUAACUACGUGCCAGCAGCCGCGGUAAUAC
rnacentral:rRNA from 1 species